AUGGUGACGCGUGGAUCUUCACCGACUCAAUUUCAUUUAUAGAGAGUUUUCAUCUUUCUGGAUGUUUCGUCUCGCUUCCCCCUCUCUUCACUCUCGCUCUUCGCUCUUUCUCUGCAACAUUAAAACUCUCAAAUCACAAGCCAACCAUAACCAAACCCUCCUCAACCCUUCUUUCUCCCUUCUCUCUUUCCUCUCACUUUUAUCUAUGUUACUCACUUAAUACAAAGUGGUGUACGGCGACGAUUUCGGCAACGGCCGGCCUUGAGGUUGGUUCAAACGGUUGCUCUUCACAUCAGAUUAUUGCCAAAGCAGUUUAAUAUAAGAUACAAAGUGCUCUUGCUGAAAUAGAAAAAAACAACGAGUUUGACAACGUGGUAUUUUUGGAUUUUAUCCUGGUUGUAUUUGUGUUGCAUGGUUGUCUACGCUAAAGCUUAUCAAUUCAUAGACUCUUAGCUUGUAAGAACUGUAAAGAAAGUUAAACAUGACAGCAGUGGCCAAACAUGAAGCCCGGGACAAGUUAUUGGCGCUCAAUACGCAACGACAUUUGUCAUGCCCUUGAAGAGCUUGGCUGUUUCAUGGCAAUCCUGCCCAACAAACUUCCGUUGGAGGAACUUCGUAACUCCUUCCUUGGUGCAUUGCAAGAGUAGUUAGAUUUCCCCAUGGACGUCAAAGUGCGAGACAAAAAAGGGGCCUAUUUAUCUGUCAAUCCUACCCAUGAAGGCUUGGGGGUGCUUAAUGCCACAACCACUGAAGAAAUUCAGAAGUUCACUCGUCAUUUUUGGCCUAAUGGAAACGAUCAUCUUUGGUAUGAUUUUGUACACAUUUUUUACAUGUCAACAGCUCUCGUCUUUAAGAUUUAAACUCAAGACGUUAUUUACAUUUUUUCAAUAGUUGUAUAGUUUGUGGACCAAAAUAUAGUUAUAUAGUUAAUAGUUUAGCGUUCCCUAGCCUACCGGCUAUGGCUUUUAUUACAUACCUUAGGACUUUAAAUCAACGGUUCUGAUGAAAACAUUAGAAUCAAAUUU
rnacentral:sRNA from 1 species